UAAUAAAGAAUAAAUUUUUCAUGAUAGUAUUGAAAGAAUUUCUCUUUUUGUUCACUGUUAAUAAUUUUAAUUAGAAUUAUGGGAAUAGACAAAGAUGAAAUCCAAGGAAUACACUGGAUGUACCCUAUUGUUGGACUCCCACAGGCACCGCUCCCUAAAAAUGCUCCACUAGUUCCUAAAACACGUGUAUUGACGUAUGAAAUUGAAUAUGAAUCUGAAGUUAUGAAGUCUAAAUUGGAAUCCAUUGUAGAUUUACAGUUGAGCACACAAAGUUAUGAUAUCCAAAGUGAAACAAUAUCAUUGGUCUUCAAGAUAGUAUUUACACCAAAGAAACCAUUCAGGUCUGAUAUUUUAUUGAAAAUAGAGAGUGUAAAAGAUGGAAUCUGGAGGUUUCCCUUGAUCUUGAUAGCUACUGCUCCUGAAGUGGAAAAAACCAUUAACAUAAAAGCAGUUGGUUUACAAAAGGAAUCUACUAUGGACUUUAGGCUGACAAGUCAGACAAGAUACACCGAACGAUUCACUGCCUACUUCCUACCUGGAAGCGAUCCAGAGUUUUUUGUAAAACCUGAGACUGGAGAACUUCCUCCAUUUUUUAGUGAAGGAAUACUCAUCUCUGUAGGAUUUAAACCGCAAAUGUACAGUAAGAAACACAAAGCAACAUUAGUAAUACAGACAGAAGAUACGUGCUGCUUGUAUGAAAUCAAUGGGUUACCACCAGAACCCACACCUCUGAUGAACGUAAAACCAAAAAUUAAUACUAGUAACAAAAUGUAUGACAGUAUGCCCAUUCGUCACCGCAAUUUUAUCCGUGAAAAUGCUGAACUCAUAAGGACCGGGGUGUCUUCUACCAUUAAGGGUGCUCCUUUGGUGAUGAAGAGAAAAUAAAAAAAAAAUUUCCAAAUCAUUUCUUGGUUUCAACCAGUAUUGAAUGUUUUCAUAUGACUCAUUAUAACCAAUUAUAAUUGUUGUUUGAUGUUUGAGAUAUUCCUGAGGAUUAAUAAUUUAACAAUAUCAGGUCUUCUAUAUUUUCUUGUAUUUUAAAAUGCUGUUCUAACCAAUCUCUA
rnacentral:lncRNA from 1 species